GAAGGUAUAGUUCAAGUGGCAGAGUGCAUGCUUAGCACGCAUGAGGUCCUGAGUUCAAUCCCCAGCAUCUCCU
rnacentral:tRNA from 1 species